rnacentral:rRNA from 1 species
GCAAAUCUCUUAAAGCCGUUCUCAGUUCGGAUUGUAGGCUGCAACUCGCCUACAUGAAGUCGGAAUCGCUAGUAAUCGCGGAUCAGCAUGCCGCGGUGAAUACGCUCCCGGGCCUUGUACACACCGCCCGUCACACCAUGAGAGUUUGUAACACCCAAAGCCGGUGGGGUAACCUUUUGGAGCCAGCCGUCUAAGGUGGGACAGAUGAUUGGGGUGAAGUCGUAACAAGGUAAC